GCAAUGGCAGGCAAAACUAGAAAGCAAGCAGCAAGUUGUAACAAUUUUAUAUAGUAACUGGUCCAAAUAAUAAUAAUGAUGCCGAAACAAUUUACGAAUAAAUAAAGUUCAAAUGUUCCAAAUAAUAAAGUCACUAAUUUCACUAAUCCAAUUCACAGUUUAAAGUUAAAGUCCAAAAAUGUUCCAAAUAUUCAAAGUUGAUGUUGUCUGGUUGAACGAUUACAGUUGUGUUGAGCUGUCUUUUGAGUUAGCGUUUCUCCUGAGUAGCUGAGCCUGGUUGGCUUUGGAAGCACUCCUAUCUGGAUCACACCGACGAGACUACACUGACGAAUAACUGUUCGACUCCGAUAUUUAAGGCGAAAGCUGAAAACUACUCAUAAAAUGACAGACAUUGAUAAUUUUGAUAAUUUGAGAUAAUUU
rnacentral:lncRNA from 1 species